rnacentral:rRNA from 1 species
AGUAACACGUAGAUAACCUGCCCUUUAGUGGGGAAUAACAUCUCGAAAGAGAUGCUAAUACCGCAUAAGCUCUUUACCGAUAGGUAGAGAGGGAAACCUGCUCUUCGGAGCGGGGCCGAAGGAGGGGUCUGCGGCGGAUUAGCUAGUUGGUGAGGUAACGGCCCACCAAGGCGACGAUCCGUAGCUGGUCUGAGAGGACGACCAGCCACACUGGAACUGAGACACGGUCCAG